rnacentral:rRNA from 1 species
GACGAACGCUGGCGGCGCGCUUAACACAUGCAAGUCGAACGGAAAGGCCUGCUUUCCCUUGUGGAUUGCGGGUACUCGAGUGGCGAACGGGUGAGUAACACGUGAGUGAUCUGCCCCCAACUUGGGUAUAAGCCUGGGAAACUGGGUCUAAUUCCCGAUAGGACUGCAGGGUGGUGCCUGUGGUGGAAAACGAUUUUCUAGUGGUUGGGGAUGAGCUCGCGGCCUAUCAGCUUGUUGGUGGGGUAAUGGCCUACCAAGGCGGCGACGGGUAGCCGGCCUGAGAGGGUGGACGGCCACAUUGGGACUGAGAUACGGCCCAGACUCCUACGGGAGGCAGCAGUGGGGAAUAUUGCACAAUGGGCGGAAGCCUGAUGCAGCGACGCCGCGUGGGGGAUGACGGCCUUCGGGUUGUAAACUCCUUUCGACCGCCAGGAAGCCACCUGGUUGGAAGGGUGGUGACGGUAGUGGUAGAAGAAGCACCGGCUAACUACGUG